UACAGAGGGUGCAAGCGUUGUUCGGAAUUACUGGGCGUAAAGGGCGCGUAGGCGGCCUGCUAAGUCGAACGUGAAAUCCCUGGGCUCAACCCAGGAACUGCGUCCGAUACUGGUUGGCUUGAAUCCGGGAGAGGGAUGUGGAAUUCCAGGUGUAGCGGUGAAAUGCGUAGAUAUCUGGAGGAACACCGGUGGCGAAGGCGACAUCCUGGACCGGUAUUGACGCUGAGGCGCGAAAGCCAGGGGAGCAAACGGG
rnacentral:rRNA from 1 species